UUAAGAUGAUCACUUCACGAAAAAAAACAAACAAUUGUCAACCUACGUCGUGAUAGUAUUUGCCAAAAUGUUUAUCAAUUUUUAGUAAACUCUUUGUUCAAUAUUUUGGAAUAAUUUUAAUUUUUACUAAUAUUACUCAAUACACAUAACAUCCAACUUGACAAAAUAAUUCAAUCAUGGCAGCGGACGAGACAGCUGUACUUUUAAACAUUAGCGAUAUGAUAGACUUAGCGAUCGGAACUCCGGAGGUGGGAGUGGUGGACUUCAACAUGCUACAAACUGUUCUCCACUGUCUCGCCCAACAGCUACGAGUCCUUGGCAAGAACGUGGAACUGCGCGGCAGCGUGGCGACGCUACCUGUCGGCAGAGAAAAUAACCAGACAAUUGCCAUCAGCGAGUUCGUAGUGGACACAGAUGAUAAAGCUGCUGCAACGAAAACGGAGAUACAUCCUUCGCCUUCGGGAUCAGAACCCCCAACUAUAUUAGUUGUCGAACGAGUGAAAAAAACAGAUUCCCCUACUCGGAGUCCUCCUCGUGACCGGUCUCCUGGGCCACAACCACACGGCGCUGGUGCUGGUGGUGCCGCUGCCGGCGCUCCACAUGCGCUCUCUUCAACUGAAAGGCUGUCACUCGUCACUCUUAGCAAAUUUAAUCUGCUGGAAUCAGCCGUUGAGGACUUAAAGAAUCGUGUGUACGGCAGUAUGCCAAAGAAUGAAGAGAUCUUGGAAGAAGUCAGAUCACAAACUAACUUGAAAGCCAUCACCGACAUGUGGACAUCUUUAAAUGUCUCCUCUCGCUUGGAAGCGGCCGAAGCCGGUAUCUCUAAACUCAGUUCACUGGUUCAGGAUGUUAUUUCGGAAACUUCGGAACUACAGGAAGCUUUAAAGAAACGUAGCUCAAAAACCCAAGUCCAAACGACUGAAGCAACGGCCCCGACGGCGGCAGGUGGUACUGCUGGCGCAUCACCAGACUUGGCGCAAGUUCAAGCGAAUCUAGACCAACUACGCGCUGAUGUGGACCAGCUGUCCAACACUUUCUAUAGAACUAUGGCAGAAGCACAGGCCGGAUUUGAACAACAUACAUCAGCCACUCCUGAAGCCCCCGGGGCUGCUGAAGCGGUUGGGACAACAGAAGCAUCAACAGAUGGCCCACCUCCGGAACAUGUUCAAAGACAUGCAGGGUCAAGCGCUCUUAACGACAGAAUAAAUGCCCUAGAGAAACGGAUGAGGGAGUGUUGUGACAAGAUUGGCGCUGUGGAUGGCGUCAUGCAAGAUAACAUAAACUCCUUCCAAGAUCAACUCGAACACAUGAUGAAGCAAGUAGCAACUUUGGAAUCAGGCGGUGCUGCCAAAAUGACCCCAGAUGUUAUUAAAGAUUUACAAGGCUUAAUGCAGCUCUUCCAGACUGUCCAAGAAAUGCAAGACCAACUAAAACAGGUUCACGAGACAGCACUCCAGUUGGCGGCAGAAAAAGAAGAUCGUCAGAUCCAUGUCAAUGCUCUUCUAGAACAAAUCGAGCUACUGAAAACGGUUAAACUGGAUCGAGAAGACAUGGUUGAAGCAAUGGCUGACAAAGCAGACCUGCGCAUGCUGGCGCGUAAAGUGUCACACGAUCAAUUCGAACUUGCUUGUGACGAUUUAUCCAGAGGUUUGGAACAUGCACUUGGAAAACUUAAUAUGCAGGAAGCCUUGUGGCAACAAGCUUUAGACGACAUUCAGCGAGAAAUCGAAACCAAAUUAGACAAGAUGGAACUAUCUCCGGUGAAAGACUUCUUCAAUAACAAAUUAAAACAACUACAAGAAAAUCUGAAACAAAUGUCUUCCUUGCGACGGGAAGCUGAAGCGGCGGGAACUAAAAGACGAUUAUUAAGAGACGUGAAUUGCAUAUCAUGCGAUGCGAAAGCUGUAAUGCCUAUGGAAGCUCCCUCAUCUGUGCCUGUCAGUAAGCCCAUGCCCGCCACACUCUCCAUGAAACCAUAUCUUAGCUACGAGCUUGAUCUGACACGGACAAACAUCUUUGCAACCGUUACUGCGGCGGUUCUCACACGGUGACCACUCCGGCGCAACGCGUCGCGCGUCUGGGACACUUUAUAAAACAGUGGGGGCCGGACGUGCUAUCGUUGUCCUCAGGGUUGGCGACUGGUGAUGAUGGAAGGAUGUAUAAAGUAACCGCCACGGAAGCUGCUAAUGUCGGUCCAG
rnacentral:misc_RNA from 1 species